rnacentral:rRNA from 1 species
GAUAAACGCUGGCGGCGUGCCUAAUACAUGCAAGUCGAGCGAACAGACGAGGAGCUUGCUCCUCUGAUGUUAGCGGCGGACGGGUGAGUAACACGUGGAUAACCUACCUAUAAGACUGGGAUAACUUCGGGAAACCGGAGCUAAUACCGGAUAACAUGUUGAACCGCAUGGUUCAACAGUGAAAGACGGUCUUGCUGUCACUUAUAGAUGGAUCCGCGCCGCAUUAGCUAGUUGGUAAGGUAACGGCUUACCAAGGCAACGAUGCGUAGCCGACCUGAGAGGGUGAUCGGCCACACUGGAACUGAGACACGUUCCAGACUCCUACGGGAGGCAGCAGUAGGGAAUCUUCCGCAAUGGGCGAAAGCCUGACGGAGCAACGCCGCGUGAGUGAAGAAGGUCUUCGGAUCGUAAAACUCUGUUAUUAGGGAAGAACAAAUGUGUAAGUAACUAUGCACGUCUUGACGGUACCUAAUCAGAAAGCCACGGCUAACUACGUG